AUUUUAUUAAUAUAAUAAGUAUACUUGAUUUCCAAUCAAAAAGUUUAAACAUUAAAUAAAAUA
rnacentral:tRNA from 1 species